GAUGAACGCUGGCGGCGUGCCUAAUACAUGCAAGUCGAGCGAACAGACGGGGAGCUUGCUCCUCUGAUGUUAGCGGCGGACGGGUGAGUAACACGUGGAUAACCUACCUAUAAGACUGGGAUAACUUCGGGAAACCGGAGCUAAUACCGGAUAACAUGUUGAACCGCAUGGUUCAACAGUGAAAGACGGUCUUGCUGUCACUUAUAGAUGGAUCCGCGCCGCAUUAGCUAGUUGGUAAGGUAACGGCUUACCAAGGCAACGAUGCGUAGCCGACCUGAGAGAGUGAUCGGCCACACGGGAACGGAGACACGGUCCAGACGCCUACGGGAGGCAGCAGUAGGGAAUCGUCCGCAAUGGGCGAAAGCCUGACGGAGCAACGCCGCGUGAGUGAAGAAGGUCUUCGGAUCGUAAAACUCGGUUAUUAGGGAAGAGCAAAUGUGGAAGUAACUAUGCACGUCGUGACGGUACCUAAUCAGAAAGCCACGGCUAACUACGUG
rnacentral:rRNA from 1 species